rnacentral:rRNA from 1 species
CCUACGGGAGUCAGCAGUGGGGGAUAUUGCACAAUGGGGGAAACCCUGAUGCAGCGACGCCGCGUGAGUGAAGACGUAUUUCGGUAUGUAAAGCUCUAUCAGCAGGGAAGAAAAAAGACGGUACCUGACUAAGAAGCCCCGGCUAACUACGUGCCAACAGCCGCGGUAAUACGUAGGGGGCACGCGUUAUCCGGAUUUACUGGGUGUAAAGGGAGCGUAGACGGCAAUACAAGUCUGAAGUGAAAUGCCCGGGCUCAACCUGGGAACUGCCUUGUAAACUGUAUGGCUGGAGUGCUGGCGCGGUAAGCGGAAUUCCUAGUGUAGCGGUGAAAUGCGUAGAUAUUAGGAGGAACACCAGUGGCGAAGGCGGCUUACUGGACAGUAACUGACGUUGAGGCUCGAAAGCGUGGGGAGCAAACAGGAUUAGAUACCCCUGUAGUC